GUGCCAGCAGCCGCGGUAAUACGGAGGGUGCGAGCGUUGUCCGGAAUCAUUGGGCGUAAAGCGCACGUAGGCGGUCCGUUAAGUCUCUUGGUGAAAGGCUGGGGCUCAACCCUAUGCAUGCCGGGGAUACUGGGGGACUGGAGACAGGUAGAGGCGAGCGGAAUUCCGGGUGUAGCGGUGGAAUGCGUAGAGAUCCGGAAGAACACCGGAGGCGAAGGCGGCUCGCUGGACCUGAUCUGACGCUGAGGUGCGAAAGCGUGGGGAGCGAACAGGAUUAGAUACCCCGGUAGUCC
rnacentral:rRNA from 1 species